rnacentral:lncRNA from 13 species
CCCCCCCCCCCACCACAGACUGGCGAUGGCCUGGCUGACAAAACUUGAUUCCACCAGAUGCUUCAAGGGGACCUUAACCCAUAAAAUCACUCUGUCUGUCCUGGGUCCAGAGCCACGGGGCUGGGCCGGGCCCCACCCUUCCGUCUCCUAACGGCAAUAUAAAUAGAUUCACAUGACAGGGUAAUUCAUCUCUGGUCAUUAAAACAUCAGCUCUAGAAGACAGCUCUCCAAGACCCCAGCGCUUGUUAGGGCCAGAGCAGCAGCCCAGAUGCCAGGGAUGUAAACUCAUGAAGAGAAGAUUAAUUUAUCUGUCAUCCCUGACUUUGACAGUCGCUGUAAAUCUGUCUCUGGCCUCUGCACGGCAGGGAGGGAGAGGGAGGCAGGAGUAGAGGGGGUGAGAGAAAGAGUAUGGAGGGAGAGGAAGGAUUAGGGGAGAGAGUGGAAGAGAGGGGGAAGAGAAAGAGGAGAGGUAGUUGAGGGAGGUUAGAGGUGGACAGUGAAGCUUGUGACAUUUGCCGCAUGAUAUCGAUGAGAGGACUCACUCGCUCACUAACUACUCUCGUCCACCUGGGAUAUGUUGACGCUCGUCCUCACAAGAUGAUGUUUGAAAUCCUAUUGUUGAGAAGAGAACAUUUGGCAAUGAUUUGAACCCCCAUAACCCAUUUACCCUCUACUCCUAACCCACCAUACAUCCAUGAUUUUCUCUGGUUAUUUCCAAGAUGGUGGUUACAUAAGGCAGGCGCGGUGCAGAAUGAGUAGUGGGAGUGUCAGGGAAGCCAUUUGGGGCGUGAUUGAUGGUAACAGGUGAGCCUCGGAGCGAGGCGCAUGUGAGCGAGGAGGCGGAUGGCGAGCUUUGGAGAAACAGGAGAAGUUUUUAAAAUGUAAAACAUAAACCAGACAAAGCAUUCUAUUUCUUAUCAUAUCUGAUGUCAGUGUAGUCAGAGAGUACACAAUGCAUUUGGAUGGAUAAAAUGUUUAUCGGGUUGAAAACGAGCUGAGUGCCCUGGCUUUUCACACUAUCUAUCUAGAGUUCUACUCGGAAUCACAUGCAGGCACAAACACCAGUGAAUGGAGACAGCACCUGGUUUUGUUCUCUUUUGUUCACUGGCCCCAAGCACUACCUCUUCCCCCAGUACUGACUGGUGAUCUGAGUUGCAGUGUGGAAUUAGAAACAAUCUCCAUGCAGGACCUGGGAAGCUCUAUCCUUGGCCCACCUCCAAGACCUACU